rnacentral:tRNA from 1 species
GUCUUCAUAAUUUAAAUAAAAUACUGAUCUUGUAAAUCAGACUUAAGAAUUCUCUAUUCUUUAAAGACU